UACAGAGGGUGCAAGCGUUAAUCGGAAUUACUGGGCGUAAAGCGCGCGUAGGUGGUUCGUUAAGUUGGAUGUGAAAUCCCCGGGCUCAACCUGGGAACUGCAUCCAAAACUGGCGAGCUAGAGUAUGGUAGAGGGUGGUGGAAUUUCCUGUGUAGCGGUGAAAUGCGUAGAUAUAGGAAGGAACACCAGUGGCGAAGGCGACCACCUGGACUGAUACUGACACUGAGGUGCGAAAGCGUGGGGAGCAAACGGG
rnacentral:rRNA from 1 species